GGGCCUUUAGCUCAGUUGGUUAGAGCAACGGACUCAUAAUCCGUAGGUCCAGGGUUCAAGUCCCUGAGGGCCCA
rnacentral:tRNA from 1 species